rnacentral:lncRNA from 1 species
GAAGCAGCACUGGUGGUGCCUCAGCCAUGGCCUGGACCGUUCUCCUCCUCGGCCUCCUCUCUCACUGCACAGGCUCUGUGACCUCCUAUGUGCUGACUCAGCCACCCUCGGUGUCAGUGGCCCCAGGACAGACGGCCAGGAUUACCUGUGGGGGAAACAACAUUGGAAGUAAAAGUGUGCACUGGUACCAGCAGAAGCCAGGCCAGGCCCCUGUGCUGGUCGUCUAUGAUGAUAGCGACCGGCCCUCAGGGAUCCCUGAGCGAUUCUCUGGCUCCAACUCUGGGAACACGGCCACCCUGACCAUCAGCAGGGUCGAAGCCGGGGAUGAGGCCGACUAUUACUGUCAGGUGUGGGAUAGUAGUAGUGAUCAUCCCACGAUUCCAAGUUGAGCCUGACCUGAAUCCUGAGUCAGCCCAAGGCUGCCCCCUCGGUCACUCUGUUCCCACCCUCCUCUGAGGAGCUUCAAGCCAACAAGGCCACACUGGUGUGUCUCAUAAGUGACUUCUACCCGGGAGCCGUGACAGUGGCCUGGAAGGCAGAUAGCAGCCCCGUCAAGGCGGGAGUGGAGACCACCACACCCUCCAAACAAAGCAACAACAAGUACGCGGCCAGCAGCUACCUGAGCCUGACGCCUGAGCAGUGGAAGUCCCACAAAAGCUACAGCUGCCAGGUCACGCAUGAAGGGAGCACCGUGGAGAAGACAGUGGCCCCUACAGAAUGUUCAUAGGUUCUCAUCCCUCACCCCCCACCACGGGAGACUAGAGCUGCAGGAUCCCAGGGGAGGGGUCUCUCCUCCCACCCCAAGGCAUCAAGCCCUUCUCCCUGCACUCAAUAAACCCUCAAUAAAUAUUCUCAUUGUCAAUC